rnacentral:rRNA from 1 species
AGAGUUUGAUCAUGGCUCAGGACGAGCGCUGGCGGCGUGCUUAACACAUGCAAGUGGAGCGACGAACCGGGCUUCGGCCCGGGGCAAAGCCGCGAACGGGUGAGUAACACGUGGGUGACCUGCCCCAAUGACUGGGACAACCCGGGGAAACCCGGGCUAAUACCGGAUGACCUCUCUGGCCUACGGGCCGUUGAGAAAAGAUAGCUUCGGCCUCCGCAUUGGGAGGGGCUCGCGGCCAUUAGCUUGUUGGUGGGGUCAAGGCCUACCAAGGCGACGAUGGGUAGCUGGUCUGAGAGGACGAUCAGCCACACUGGGACUGAGACACGGCCCAGACUCCUACGGGAGGCAGCAGUGGGGAAUCUUGCGCAAUGCGCGAAAGCGUGACGCAGCAACGCCGCGUGGGGGAAGACGGCCUUCGGGUUGUAAACCCCUUUCAGGAGGGACGAAGGUUCGGCGGUUAAUAGCCGUCCGGACUGACGGUACCUCCAGAAGAAGCUCCGGCUAACUACGUGCCAGCCGCCGCGGUAAUAC